CUGCCCUCAAGCCCGGCUUGUGUGUUGGGGCACUGCGGUUCGCCGCAGGCUCUGAAAUUCAGUGGCGGGCUCGCUAUAACUCCGAGCGUAGUAAUUCACCUCGUUCUGGAAGAGUGGCGGGCACUGGCCGUAAAACCCCCAUAUUUUACAA
rnacentral:misc_RNA from 1 species